UUUCCUGGAGAGGUUGAAUUCCCUCUUGAGAACCAGAGCCUGAGGUCUCUUGAAAGUGAAGGUUUGAUCUACCUCUUCUUCCUCACCUAGGUCCACAGCAGACACCAUGAGAUUUCUCUCAAUAGCUCUGAUUUUUACUCAGAAACACUCUACUGACUUAAAAACAGAUGAAAGAAGAUGACUAUGUAACAGGCAUGCUUUUGAUGGUUACUAAUACAUAACUUCACUGGGUCAUGGAAACCUGAAAACAGGUCGCUUUUGAGUAUUAAAAGACAGUAUCACAUAUUAUGGCCCUGUUCUUACUCUUUAGCCAGGAUAUACUUAAGGUCAUCAGUGAAGACAGUUAAUCUGACCAACAAUGGCUAGUGAAACAUAUAUUUAUUGCCACCAAACAGAUACCAGAAAACAUAAUGUACCAGGGUUUUCUACAGAAAAAUAGAUUUUCAUCCUUAAAACAUCUAGAUUGGCAAUCCAGGCAAUUCAUUCAAUAAAACACUAAACAGAUUUUGCUAAUGAGUUCUCAAACAAUCAAUCAGAAAGAUUCCAGAUUUCUACUAUUCAUUGUAAAUAAAGCAAUGAAUAGAACAGAAUAGUUAAAUAUACUGAACUGGAUUUGCAGUUAUGCCUCUGGGAGAUCAAAUACAAAAGCAACACUUGCUGCACUCCAGAAUUACCAUGCCUCACUAAGACAAUUGUGCUGCUUCCACAAUUAAAGCACAAAUUUCAGUUCAAAGACUACUUAGUUGCCACCAAAAUGAUGUCAAGGAAACUAUCAGUAGACAAAAACAGAGAGAAGAAUCUGUACAGGGAUGCUUCUUACAGAAAGGAAUAUCAAAUUACUGCUAUGAUACAAUUACAAAAUAAGAGAGACACAGGAGUCAUUGUUACUUUCAUUGAUUCAGGGGAAUGAAAAAAGAGGGAAGAGUGAGUAGAAAUAAUAAAUUAAUAAAUUUGUUUUAUGACUUCAAUCAGAAUAUUUCAUUGACAGAAUUGUGAAUGUCACCUGAAAUUCAAGUCUUCAUUACAGCAAAAAACAGUCAUCAAAACUGCAUCUAUCCCUGUGGAACUGGGUUCCUGCUAGGAACCUUCUAGCAGAGUUGAUAACAGGUCCAAGACCUGUCUCAAACAAUGCAUAUUACUAAAGCCCCUGAUUCCAAAUGCAGAACAAGCAAGGAGGAGUUGCAGCUCUCUCUUUCUUUCAGGAAAAAAAAAAGGUUCAUGUUGUCACAAAAUUGAAAAGGAAAGGCAAAGUAAAUGGAAACAAGCCAUGCAUGCAGAAUUUCAAACUCAAAGUUUUAAGUGAACUUAAUGGCAGAUAGGGAAUUCAAAUUAAUUUCCAGAUGUGGUUUCUAGGCCAUGGUUUAGAGCCAUACUGUUCUUAAAUCUGACAUCUCUUCCCCCACUGAGAAUCUGGACUGGGUAAAAGGAGACCCCUUUCCUCCCUCACCUGGCAGCAGCGGAAUGCCACACAUAUUCCCUCUUCUAUGACUCUGGGCACCAUUUCCAUGACAACAGGAGGAAAGCCAGUCCAAACUGGUCUGGGAGGGAGGGAAUGAGAAUCACCCUUCCAGCAAAGCCCCCUUUCAUCUCCCUGAACAAGGCAUUCUGAGAAACCAGGCACAAGAGUGAAGCUGAUUGCACAGCCUGGGAGGGACAGAGGGCCCAGCAGCAUCAUGCAGCCUGAAAAUACCUCUUCAUGUCUGUCUCCAACCUGCUCACAAACCAGGAUGUAAUGCAUCAGCACUAGACAUAUGCUCUAACCAUGCAUGGCAGGCACCUUUAAAGGAUCACAGAAGUUUUGAGACACUCUAAUUUAAACCAUAACCUGUGCCAUGCAAAACACGAACUUUCUCUAUUCUGAGAGUUGCACUAGAUACAGCCCUGAGAAGCCUCUUUGCUCAGUAAGUCUGGCUCCUUGGAUUCAGACCCUUUCGAGGAGAGUACCACUGCACUGGAAUACACAAGUACCAGAAACAUUUGCAAUGCUAAACUGUAAGAAUACAAAAGCUACUUAAUUUUCUGGACCUGUUCUGUUGUCUGUUCCUUGUGUAUUUUACAUUACCCAAUCACGUGACAAGCAAACUGUGACAUCAGACUGAUUUAACAAGUGCUAAAAAUUUAUAUAGCACAAAUUUAUUUUUUGGCUUAAAAAGGGAAAGUAUAUAUUUAGUGUACCAAAAUCAGGAUUUUGAACCAAAUCUCACCUCUAUUGAAGCUUUUUUAAUAUUGUGUUACUUUCCCAUCUGUAAAGGUUGAGUUCUAUUUAGUAAAGACUGUUUUUUCUUAUUACAUGGCUGGCAAAGCGUAUAUUCUUUCCAGAAGCAAAGUCACUGAAAUUAGAAUGAACGAAAUAAUUUAAUGGGAUGCACUCUACUUCAUUUCCUCAAACAAGAGACUGCAUUGACCAGGAAAGACAUUUCUCUGGCUCAUGUCCGUUGCAAAGUAAAGCCAGAAAGAGAGAGACAGAGAGAGAGAAAUACAGCAUACCCUCCCUUGAAUACAUCCAUGAAAAGUGGGCAGAGACCUUGCAACAAUGUUUGGGAUGUCUUUGACAGCACCAUUGGAAUAUAAAGUGUCUCUAACCACUUUUUAUGUCUUUUUUUGGAAGAGCAAAGUCCUCCUACAGUGCAAUACCACUUAGAGAGGAGGACUUUGAAAAUUAAAGCCUUAUAAAUCAGUUUCCUUCCUUUUAAGCAGCUUCACAAACACUGCAGACAGUUUCUAACUUUUGAUCUUCCAGUUCAUGUUUGAUACAGGAGCCCUUUUGGAUCCAGUACUUGCACAGGGUACAGUCUCUACAGACAAUCCUAAUUGAAAUUUGGCAACUGGAUUAUUGUCAGGACUGGACAGAGGGGGACGUAACCUCCUGGAGGUAAGCCAAAGUGCAUAGGUUCUGGGUUUUUUAGGAUUUUACCUUCUUUUCCUGAUUUUACAGAACACAUCUCUCAAGACAGUGACACAGGUUUUGUACCUGCUAGUGAAUUAUCUGCACACCACUGCUUUGGGCAUGUUGGUGCCAUGCUGGACUAUCAUUUUCCUAGGAAGACAGGAUGACAGGUGUCUCCAUAGCAACUGAGUACACAUGGCUCUAGAUACAGUACCUCACAUAAAUAACUUGCAACUAUGGGUUCCCUAAAAGAAAAUACUCUACAUUUAGAAUUCCACUAAAAUGGAAACUACAAAAUUAUUUACAGUGAAACAAGCUCAAGCUUGAGAAGCAGUCAUGUGAGAAAUAACACUCCAAAUAAUGGUUAGCAUAAAAACUAAGUGAACAAAAUUAUAAUUUCAAAUAUUUCUAAAUGAGAAAGCUUUGGAUAACUCAGACAACUGCAACCACUGAAAAUGCUAACUUUCUAAUGACAAUGACUGUAUGCAAAUGAUCUAAUUACAAACAUAAACACACAAUGCCUUGUUGAAAAACAGGAAGAAACAUUUUGAGCAGCUUAGGAAGAAGAAAAAAUUAUACUUUGAAAAUAUUACUAUGCACAUGAAAUAAUGAGGCCUCAUAAUAAAUGCUGCAUCUUAUUUACUAAAAUUUUGCUGUUUGAUUCAGAUGUUAAUUUUGUGCUGCAUUAAAUGAAUAGCAGAUAAAGCACUCUUCCUUUAAAUGUUCACAUCAGCUUCAAAAUUAUAGUUUAAUACAUUUUUGAAUAAAUAUUACAAAGCAUAAAAUUUAAAUCUGCAAGCUGUGUUGAUCUAAAAUUUUAAGGAGUUCUAGUAGUGGGAAUGAAAAGAGACAGGAGCAGAUAAUAGAGAUAAGCUGCCCUACCCAUGCCAACAGGACUUCCUGAUGACAGAACAGAUGGAUACACCACCACUUUUAAUUAUACAUAAAUGGAUCUGAAGAACAAUUACUCCUAAGUUAAACAUCUGUUUAAAUAUUUUCAAUAAUUAUUGAUGCAUUUUAUAUUCCACAGAUCAAGUUGAUUCAACAUUCUAUUUCUGUAAUUUCAGGACCAGCCAUACUUCUGGCAUACACAGUACAGAAUAUAGAAAUCAAAAGUAAAAGUUACUCAGCUAGAUAA